GUGUGGGAAGUUAGCAAUGGAUUGAGAAGGCUUCCGAAAAUUCUGCUAUGAUGUCACAAUAUUCAGAAACAAAUAAAUGGAUUCUACUUACAUUGUACUCGAGAAGAUGGGGGAAAACAUAACUCAAGGUGAAAAUACAUAUGAGCAGAAAUAGUGAGAGGUCUGCAGAAUUACUACCUACUGGCUGCCAACUUAGUGCUUCUGCCAACCAUCUGAAUGUGUAUGGAACUGUUGGCAUUAGUAACAGUCGUGAUCAGGGCUUGAAAAUCCACCCGCCUACUUGUAGAUGGAGGGUAGCUGUUAGGGGCCAUCAUUUUAUACUUUGAACUCUAUAUCACAUAGAAACUGAAGAUAAUUUUACGGGGCUGUUCUUGUGCUUCUGUUUCCUGACGUUAAUUUUCCAGUUGUUUCCCAUCCCCUCUCAAAAGAAGCAGCAGUAGAACGAUUUGAUUGUUAUUGUGGAGUGUGGACAGAGAUCAUCAAAGUUGUUGCAUGUACAAUUUAAAUAAAAUCCCACUAUAGCCUCUUACUGUUGUAUCCAAUGUAUCCAUGUUAGAUAAUACAUUCAUUUCUUCACCUAUUGUAACCUAUUCUCAUUUAUUUUAGCACUGAGCAUCAAGUAACAGCAAACUAAAUGGUUACUUAUGAAUACAAAUUUGCCAUUUUCCUUUUCACUGCUGCUUUGCUAUCUUGCGUUAGAGUCAAACACCACAUACUGUACAU